rnacentral:rRNA from 1 species
AUAACGUCGCAAGACCAAAGAGGGGGACCUUCGGGCCUCUUGCCAUCAGAUGUGCCCAGAUGGGAUUAGCUUGUUGGUGAGGUAACGGCUCACCAAGGCGACGAUCCCUAGCUGGUCUGAGAGGAUGACCAGCCACACUGGAACUGAGACACGGUCCAGACUCCUACGGGAGGCAGCAGUGGGGAAUAUUGCACAAUGGGCGCAAGCCUGAUGCAGCCAUGCCGCGUGUAUGAAGAAGGCCUUCGGGUUGUAAAGUACUUUCAGCGGGGAGG